CUUAUUCAUGCAAGUCGAACGCGUUGGCCCAAUUGAUUGAUGGUGCUUGCACCUGAUUGAUUUUGGUYGCCAACGAGUGGCGGACGGGUGAGUAACACGUAGGUAACCUGCCCAGAAGCGGGGGACAACAUUUGGAAACAGAUGCUAAUACCGCAUAACAACGUUGUUCGCAUGAACAACGCUUAAAAGAUGGCUUCUCGCUAUCACUUCUGGAUGGACCUGCGGUGCAUUAGCUUGUUGGUGGGGUAAYGGCCUACCAAGGCGAUGAUGCAUAGCCGAGUUGAGAGACUGAUCGGCCACAAUGGGACUGAGACACGGCCCAUACUCCUACGGGAGGCAGCAGUAGGGAAUCUUCCACAAUGGGCGCAAGCCUGAUGGAGCAACACCGCGUGAGUGAAGAAGGGUUUCGGCUCGUAAAGCUCUGUUGUUAAAGAAGAACACGUAUGAGAGUAACUGUUCAUACGUUGACGGUAUUUAACCAGAAAGUCACGGCUAACUACGUGCCAGCAGCCGCGGUAAUACGUAGGUGGCAAGCGUUAUCCGGAUUUAUUGGGCGUAAAGAGAGUGCAGGCGGUUUUCUAAGUCUGAUGUGAAAGCCUUCGGCUUAACCGGAGAAGUGCAUCGGAAACUGGAUAACUUGAGUGCAGAAGAGGKUAGUGGAACUCCAUGUGUAGCGGUGGAAUGCGUAGAUAUAUGGAAGAACAC
rnacentral:rRNA from 1 species